rnacentral:rRNA from 1 species
UACAGAGGGUGCAAGCGUUGUUCGGAAUUAUUGGGCGUAAAGGGCGCGUAGGCGGUGCUGUAAGUCUGUAGUGAAAUCUCUGGGCUCAACUCAGAGUCUGCUAUAGAAACUGCAGUGCUGGAGUAUCGGAGAGGUUGGUGGAAUUCUCGGUGUAGAGGUGAAAUUCGUAGAUAUCGGGAGGAACACCGGUGGCGAAGGCGGCGAUCUGGGUCGAUACUGACGCUGAGGUGCGAAAGCGUGGGGAGCAAACAGG